GACGAACGCUGGCGGCGUGCUUAACACAUGCAAGUCGAACGGUGAAGGAAGAGCUUGCUCUUCCGGAUCAGUGGCGAACGGGUGAGUAACACGUGGGCAACCUGCCCUGACUCUGGGAUAACUCCUCGAAAGAGGUGCUAAUACCGGAUACGACCACUUCGGACAUCCGAUGGUGGUGGAAAAGUUUUUCGGUCAGGGAUGGGCCCGCGGCCUAUCAGCUAGUUGGUGGGGUAAUGGCCUACCAAGGCGACGACGGGUAGCCGGCCUGAGAGGGCGACCGGCCACACUGGGACUGAGACACGGCCCAGACUCCUACGGGAGGCAGCAGUGGGGAAUAUUGCGCAAUGGGCGAAAGCCUGACGCAGCGACGCCGCGUGAGGGAUGAAGGCCUUCGGGUUGUAACCGUCUUUCUAGCAGGGACGAAGCGAAAGUAGACGGUACCUGCAGAAGAAGACACCGGCUAACUACGUGCCAGCAGCCGCGGUAA
rnacentral:rRNA from 1 species